rnacentral:rRNA from 1 species
UACGUAGGGGGCGAGCGUUAUCCGGAAUUAUUGGGCGUAAAGCGUGCGUAGGCGGUUUGUUAAGUCACUUGUAAAAGAUCUCAGCCCAACUGAGUAAGGCAUGUGAAACUGGCAGACUUGAAUACGGUAGAGGUAAGUGGAAUUCCAUGUGUAGCGGUGGAAUGCGUAGAUAUAUGGAGGAACACCAAUGGCGAAGGCAACUUACUGGGCCGGAAUUGACGCUGAGGCACGAAAGCGUGGGGAGCAAACAGG